rnacentral:rRNA from 1 species
UACGUAGGGGGCAAGCGUUGUCCGGAUUUAUUGGGCGUAAAGAGCGUGUAGGCGGCCAUACAGGUCAGCUGUGAAAACUCGAGGCUCAACCUCGAGACGUCGGUUGAAACCGUAUGGCUAGAGUCCGGAAGAGGAGAGUGGAAUUCCCGGUGUAGCGGUGAAAUGCGCAGAUAUCAGGAGGAACACCAAUGGCGAAGGCAGCACUCUGGGACGUGACUGACGCUGAGACGCGAAAGCGUGGGGAGCAAACAGG